rnacentral:rRNA from 1 species
CCUACGGGGGGCAGCAGUCGAGAAUUAUUCACAAUGGGGGAAACCCUGAUGGUGCGACGCCGCGUGGGGGAAUGAAGGUCUUCGGAUUGUAAACCCCUGUCAUGUGGGAGCAAAUUAAAAAGAUAGUACCACAAGAGGAAGAGACGGCUAACUCUGUGCCAGCAGCCGCGGUAAUACAGAGGUCUCAAGCGUUGUUCGGAAUCACUGGGCGUAAAGUGUGCGUAGGCUGUUUCGUAAGUCGUGUGUGAAAGGCGCGGGCUCAACCCGCGGACGGCACAUGAUACUGCGAGACUAGAGUAAUGGAGGGGGAACCGGAAUUCUCGGUGUAGCAGUGAAAUGCGUAGAUAUCGAGAGGAACACUCGUGGCGAAGGAGGGUUCCUGGACAUUAACUGACGCUGAGGCACGAAGGCCAGGGGAGCGAAAGGGAUUAGAUACCCGAGUAGUC